rnacentral:rRNA from 1 species
CCCUUAGAUGUUCUGGGCCGCACGCGCGCUACACUGAGCCCUUCAUCGAGUUUACAACCUUGGCCGGUAGGUCUGGGUAAUCUUCUCAAAGGGGCUCGUGCUGGGGAUAGAUUAUUGUAAUUUUUAAUCUUCAACGAGGAAUUCCCAGUAAGCGCAAGUCAUAAGCUUGCGUUGAUUACGUCCCUGCCCUUUGUACACACCGCCCGUCGCUACUACCGAUUGAACGUUUUAGUGAGGUAUUUGGACUGGGCCUUGGGAGGUUUCGGCCUCCCUUGUUGCUCGGAAAGACUCCCAAACUUGAGCGUUUAGAGGAAGUAAAAGUCGUAACA